rnacentral:rRNA from 1 species
GAAUGCUGACAUAAGUAACGAUAAAGCGGGUGAAAAGCCCGCUCGCCGGAAGACCAAGGGUUCCUGUCCAACGUUAAUCGGGGCAGGGUGAGUCGACCCCUAAGGCGAGGCCGAAAGGCGUAGUCGAUGGGAAACAGGUUAAUAUUCCUGUACUUGGUGUUACUGCGAAGGGGGGACGGAGAAGGCUAUGUUGGCCGGGCGACGGUUGUCCCGGUUUAAGCGUGUAGGCUGGUUUUCCAGGCAAAUCCGGAAAAUCAAGGCUGAGGCGUGAUGACGAGGCACUACGGUGCUGAAGCAACAAAUGCCCUGCUUCCAGGAAAAGCCUCUAAGCAUCAGGUAACAUCAAAUCGUACCCCAAACCGACACAGGUGGUCAGGUAGAGAAUACCAAGGCGCUUGAGAGAACUCGGGUGAAGGAACUAGGCAAAAUGGUGCCGUAACUUCGGGAGAAGGCACGCUGAUAUGUAGGUGAAGCGACUUGCUCGUGGAGCUGAAAUCAGUCGAAGAUACCAGCUGGCUGCAACUGUUUAUUAAAAACACAGCACUGUGCAAACACGAAAGUGGACGUAUACGGUGUGACGCCUGCCCGGUGCCGGAAGGUUAAUUGAUGGGGUUAGCGCAAGCGAAGCUCUUGAUCGAAGCCCCGGUAAACGGCGGCCGUAACUAUAACGGUCCUAAGGUAGCGAAAUUCCUUGUCGGGUAAGUUCCGACCUGCACGAAUGGCGUAAUGAUGGCCAGGCUGUCUCCACCCGAGACUCAGUGAAAUUGAACUCGCUGUGAAGAUGCAGUGUACCCGCGGCAAGACGGAAAGACCCCGUGAACCUUUACUAUAGCUUGACACUGAACAUUGAGCCUUGAUGUGUAGGAUAGGUGGGAGGCUUUGAAGUGUGGACGCCAGUCUGCAUGGAGCCGACCUUGAAAUACCACCCUUUAAUGUUUGAUGUUCUAACGUUGGCCCCUGAUCGGGGUUGCGGACAGUGUCUGGUGGGUAGUUUGACUGGGGCGGUCUCCUCCUAAAGAGUAACGGAGGAGCACGAAGGUUGGCUAAUCCUGGUCGGACAUCAGGAGGUUAGUGCAAUGGCAUAAGCCAGCUUGACUGCGAGCGUGACGGCGCGAGCAGGUGCGAAAGCAGGUCAUAGUGAUCCGGUGGUUCUGAAUGGAAGGGCCAUCGCUCAACGGAUAAAAGGUACUCCGGGGAUAACAGGCUGAUACCGCCCAAGAGUUCAUAUCGACGGCGGUGUUUGGCACCUCGAUGUCGGCUCAUCACAUCCUGGGGCUGAAGUAGGUCCCAAGGGUAUGGCUGUUCGCCAUUUAAAGUGGUACGCGAGCUGGGUUUAGAACGUCGUGAGACAGUUCGGUCCCUAUCUGCCGUGGGCGCUGGAGAACUGAGGGGGGCUGCUCCUAGUACGAGAGGACCGGAGUGGACGCAUCACUGGUGUUCGGGUUGUCAUGCCAAUGGCACUGCCCGGUAGCUAAAUGCGGAAGAGAUAAGUGCUGAAAGCAUCUAAGCACGAAACUUGCCCCGAGAUGAGUUCUCCCUGAGACUUUAAGUCUCCUGAAGGAACGUUGAAGACGACGACGUUGAUAGGCCGGGUGUGUAAGCGCAGCGAUGCGUUGAGCUAACCGGUACUAAUGAACCGUGAGG